rnacentral:lncRNA from 1 species
GAAUUAGACUUUUUGACUUUUGUAUUACGACAUUGAAAAACAUUGUUUAAACAUUGAAAUCAGACUUUGAUUGUGAUUUUGGUUGUGCUUGUUCACAGGGCAAGACUCGUUUGAUUUUGAGAACGUGGCUGAUCUUUCGUCGGAUAUGUCUACCAAUUACGAAUAUCUUCGGACGCGGAGUCCUGGUAGACACUAUACGUUAGAAUCCUCGGCACAGUAUCAAAACAACGUUAGUACAAGCCCUCGCUUGACCCUGCGCGGGAACCACUACACGAAGAAACAAAACGGGGGCACUCAGGCUCGGUACAAGCGAAGUCGACGGGAGGUCUCGGCCUCUCAUUCGCACUCACACUCCUCUCCUUCAUCGUCAAUUUCGUCCUACGGCUCAAACUCCGAUGUCAAAUUAGAUGGGCUCAAUGAGUCUCCUCCAGAACCCGCGCCCCCGGAAGUCCCCCCGAGGGGACUUUCUCUUCGACCUCCGUCCCAAAACAAAACGGCGUCAUCACCAGCCAGUGCGACGUAUAACUUCCCCUCAGAAGAGUUCUUAAUGGCUGGUAGCCCUCGGUCUUACCCAGGGAAAAUUUGGAUUUCCCCUCCGGUCCAGAAGUCUCAACGCCUAGUGGUACUUAUCAACAUACCAGGUAAAGUUUCAAUUAUUCCUAAUUUUCACUGUAAAAAAUGAAGUUUGAGAAUACGUAAUUUUUUUUCUUUUUGGUGUAAUCAUUUAUUUUACACUGCUUUUAAUUUCUUAGUUUG